rnacentral:rRNA from 1 species
UACGUAGGGUGCGAGCGUUAAUCGGAAUUACUGGGCGUAAAGGGUGCGCAGGCGGCUCUGCAAGUCAGAUGUGAAAUCCCCGGGCUUAACCUGGGAACUGCGUUUGAAACUACAGAGCUAGAGUGUAGCAGAGGGAGGUGGAAUUCCAUGUGUAGCAGUGAAAUGCGUAGAGAUAUGGAAGAACAUCGAUGGCGAAGGCAACCUCCUGGGCUAACACUGACGCUCAUGCACGAAAGCGUGGGGAGCAAACAGG